UACGGGGGGAGCAAGCGUUGUUCGGAUUUACUGGGCGUAAAGCGUGCGCAGGCGGUUUUGUAAGUCUGUCGUGAAAUCCCCGGGCUCAACCUGGGAAUUGCGAUGGAGACUGCAAGGCUAGAAUCUGGCAGAGGGGGGUGGAAUUCCACGUGUAGCAGUGAAAUGCGUAGAGAUGUGGAGGAACACCGAUGGCGAAGGCAGCCCCCUGGGCUGAGAUUGACGCUCAGGCACGAAAGCGUGGGGAGCAAACAGG
rnacentral:rRNA from 1 species